GCCUACUGCCGUGGGCCUGCCCCUAAGCCGCUCCCAACUCAGGUCGUCAAGAGUUUUUUUGUAUCAGUUAUGCAAAGGAAUUGCACACUGCCAUGGCCAUGGUGUCCUUCAUCGGGAUUUAAAGCCCCAAAAUCUAUUGGUUGACAAGGAGAAGAUGAUACUGAAAAUUGCAGAUCUUGGGUUAAGUAGAGCUUUUACUGUUCCUAUGAAAAGCAGAUCUUGG